CCUAGAACCAAGCAUCAACUUGUGCCUUGCCAUAUAACUUCCAGACUGUGAACUAAGUAAACCUCUUUUGUUUUUAAAGUCUCUAGACUUAGGUAUUUUGUUAUAGCAAUGGACACYGGACUAACCCAACCAUAUCUAAAAGGUGAGUGUGUUUCAGGACAUCACAAAAAGAUGAGCCGGGAAAGAGUGGCCCACUACUGACGGAGCAACUCRAAGGGCAAGUGCCCACGGACCUGRGAAGGAAGUCRGUGGCAUYRGCCCCUUCUUAGAAGCAUGCAAAUGCACCGUCAUCAGGAUACAGUGAGAUCACCGUGAUCACCCUUCAAAGUUCCAGGAUGCUUCUCAGCACUCAAUGAUUUUAUGGAAAGAGUGGGAAGAUGUUUUGGCAUUAGACUCUAAGGAACUGGAACCACAUUUGCAGAAUUGAUAACAGAUGCUGGAAGUUGGAGCUGCUGCCUAUUAUUCUCUUGGAUUAAAACAGAGAGCCCCAGAGAGAAUUAAGCUUCAUCCCUGCCACCAACAAUGCCUCAUGCAUGAAGCAGAUGUUCACAUCAGCUGCACAGGCAGUCAAUCGAAUAACAAUAGCAUCAUUAUUGAAAGAUCACUGGGACACACCAUCCUCCAAGUUCUUCACGUGCACAGCCAAUUUCAGCCUCACGACAGUCCACGGGAUUGGUUCUUCAUAAUCGCUGCUUAACAUGUGAGGAAUCUGAGUCUUGGAAGGUUGGGGAAUGUUUUUCAGGUCAGAUCUGGAAGACUGGGAGAYGGCCCAGGUUGGCAUUAUGCUUUCUACUCUACGAAUAAGAGAAGGUAUCUUCAUUCAAUUGAUUUAAUGGGAAAAAAGGAUGUACAAUUUUGUGUGUGGGGGG
rnacentral:lncRNA from 1 species